UGACCAGCUGCUUUAGAGAGCUGAGGUGUAAGGGAACAACAGCACACCAUGUUUAUGUAAAUUGGAAGUUGGAAGAAAAAUUAACUUCAGCUGAACAUUUUAGUGAUAUCCAAAUCAGAAUAUCAUUGGAGAAGUGACCAUGAGACUUUGCAGAGAUGUUCUGCUUCUUCAGCAAAGAGAAAAUUACAGACCUAUGGAAUACUUAGUGCUGGUGAUCUAAGAAGCAGACCUUGAAUGGCUCAGUUUUCAUCAGCUGUACCAAAGGGAAAAGAGAGAAGGCUUGUUUUUACUACUAAGCUGAGUGAAUAUGGCGUGGAAAUCUUGUAAUGGCAAGGACAAACUGCCCAGAUUGUGAUUUGACCCACUUAAAAGCUUAACAAGAAUACAACAAGCUUGGAAAAAGUUUUUCUUUUUGCCUCCUGCUAUCCAGUCUUUCAUCUGCUUUUCCUAUGUCUGCUUUCAACAUAAUUCAACUGGGUGUCUCUCCUGUCUCUUAGCUUUGAAUGCAAGAAAUACUGCCAGAAAUUCUUCAGGACUUCUCACAAGUUUGGGUUCCUUGGGCACAUCUGUGUGGUAUUACCUAAAUGACGGUAAUUGCAACAAAAACAAGAUCUAUUAAAACAGAGAAAACAUCUUAUAGUAUGUU